AUGCCAGUGAAUAUUUGGAGAAUAAGAACAUUUUUUGCCAGCCCUCACAGGGCGUCUAGAAGACAGGCACAGAGAAAGGCCUACAUAUUUCUGAUCUCUGUCACAUUUCCACGAGGAACUCCAGAGACUGUGAGACACUGUCUUGAUUAUUUUAAGGAGCUCCCUUUGGAAGUACAGGAGGUCCUUGUUACUCAAUAAAAAUUUUAUCUUGAGAGAAGGCCACCAAAAUCAAUCCAUCUCAACAGGUACCAAAUGUCAUAGCAAAUAGUUUAAAGUUUGUUUGCAACCUUAUCUUGAAAUCUGAGAGAAAAACAUGAAGUUUAUUUUAUUUUAGAUUUAACAAAUUGAGUUGUAAUUGCAAAUGUGCACUAAAUUCUUAGGAUGAUGAAAGACAGACUCAGCUGUUGAUUUGGGGGAAAGUAAAAUUUUCCUAAGAAAAUUGCAUAACAUGACCUAGUAUCCUUCGCUCACAGUUACAUUCUUAUAGCACAGUCCCAAUGAGGAUCACAUUUUCAAGCUUAUUCAAUGUCUUUUCAAUAGCUUAAUUGAUUUUCCAAAAGAAGUACUUUAAUCUGUUGAUAUCCAAAUAAUUUUCAUUUGAAGAACCAAGCAUUUUUUCAUUCUUGUUGAUUUUCUCUUCUGCCAGAUCCAUUUGUCACUAUCUUUGCAUGUAAUUUCAGCAGUUCCUCACCAUUUCUUAUCAGAUGAAGGUGCUAAUUGAUGGGCAAAGUUGCUACAUGGAAAACAAUGUUCAGGAACUAACUUUGUAAGGAAACGGUCCAUUAUUUUUGCGUUACAAGGACACUUGCUUCUCUACCUUGUGCCUUUAGAUGACAACUCCGAUAACAGGUAUUUCAUGCAAUUUUUUUUCCUUGAAAGGAAGCCAGGGCAAUUAUUGCAUCAAUUCAUACAUAGAAAUUAUAGAAACCGUAGACUCCCAGAACCUUCAAGUCUAAACAUUCACCUGGCUUAGCCACCUAAGGUUUAAAUUCUCUGCUAAGGAACUCCCAUUUUAACACCUUCUUCAACAGGGAACUUACUGCCUUCCAAGGCACCCGUUUGAACAGCUUCAUCUUUGAACAGCUCUGAUAUUUAUAAUAUUUUCCUUAUCGUAACCUGAAAUGUUAUCUAAUGUUUGGGCAUACAAAAGUACAGCUGUCAGGAUGAUGGAAAAACACUGUGGAGAAAAGGGAGGAAAAAAUCAACUGGAUUAUUUUUUCCAUUGAGGUAAAUUGAGUUUGAAUAGUUGGGUGAACCUUUAACUGGCUCUAUUGCAGUUGAAAACACAAGAAAGAAAUUGGUUCUUUUCAGCUUGAGUCAGAUUGUCACGCUCUGAAUAUUUAUAGAACAAAUAGUUUCAAAUCUCUCUCUAAAUACUUGUGUCUUUCAGUAAACUGGGUGGAUAUUAUUCAUUUGACAUCAUAAAAUAUUUGUUUUCCAAAAAUCUCUUAAAAAUAACCUCUGGAUUUGAAAUAUUGUUUUAUGCAAUAUUUCUAUCUAUAAUUACUCACUCAUACAGAAAUUGUGAUUAUUUAGACACACCAGCUCACCAUGAAUGGGUGUUCAUGUGUCACGUUUUAAUAUCCAUCUAUUUUGAGACAACAUUAAAUGAAAAAUAAAAUUAAGCACAGUCUUUUCA
rnacentral:lncRNA from 1 species